CCUCUCCUGCUGCCGUGUGAGAUAUGGCUGCUUCCCGUUCUGCCAUGAUGGUGCAGGAUUUCAGACGAGUAGCCACCUGGAUGAGAUACUGAUUUUCCUGCUGAGUAGGAGUUGAAACAGAAUGGAGGGUGGAGAGAAAGGAACCAGAAACAUGGAAGAAAACUGGAACCAGCUCACACAGAGCAUCUGAGGAGGAGAGGGAAGAAAAGCCUGCAGGAGCCCCUUUUGCCCUUGACUGCCCUGUCCUGGAAGUGACCCCUCACUUCUGCUCAGAUUCCAUCAGUGAGAACGAGGCACAGGGACCCACCGAGACACCAAUGGGCUGUGGGCUGAGGAAGAGAUUGAGAAACUGAGGUCGUGGGAGAUGAAGUCAUUUUCCUAAGGUCCCAUAGCUGGGACGUGUUCUUUUUUUACAGGUGGGGAAAAUGAGGCCCACAAGAAGGACAUCCCUUAUCAGUGGUGGGACCAGGACACAUAAGCCCAGGGCUGUCUGACUCCAAGAUCACUUCUCUUUCUCCUCCUGGAUUCUGAGACUGAUGGAAAGAGGGGCUCUCCAGGCUCUACCUUGAAGAGGAAGUUUCUGAUGUCAAACCUGGUGCUGAGAGUUUGUGACCUUUGCUCAGCACACUGGUGGUGGGGAUCAGAGCCAGAUUAGAUUCUCCAGCCACUCUGGUCUCUUUCCAGCCUUGGUCUGUGCCUCUGCAAAGUAUUCCAUGUCUACAAAGUGUUUUUGUAUCCCUUUUCUCAAUGCUCCUCAGCAAGCAGGACUGGAAAAUAAGUCAAGUGUCCAGGCCCAGGCAUGGGACAGAUUCACUGCUGAGCUUAGGCUACCUGACACUGAAGGCCAGGGCUAGGGGGAACCCCAGGUGCUUCCUGGACUGGAGGAUCCUUGUCACCAACAUAGCUGGCAUCCUGGGACCACUGCUGGAGAAAAAGGAGACGGAAAGGAAGCACGUACUGAAAACCUACAAUAGCUUCAUAUUGUGUUAGAUAUUUUUACUUACUCCUUAAUUUAACUCUGCCACAAAGCUAACAUUAUCAUCAACUUCGCCAUAGUGCAGAGGAGAGAGCUGGCUGACCCAAGGAUACACAGCUAGCAGGUGAGUGAAGCAGAGCUUGAUUCCGGUAUGACAGCUCCAGAGCCCACCUGCUUAACAGUGAUGCGUGCCCACCUGCCCUGGAAAUGGGGCAUGCACAGUGCAUUAUUAAUGAUAAAGCUCAUAUUUCUGAAUGGGUGCUGUAUGCCAUGCACACGGCCCUUUUAUGUAAUCCCUAGGACAGUCAUAGGCAAAAGGUGUUAUCGUGCCCAUUUUAUAGAUAAAACAUUCAAAACCAGGAGGUGCGCAGCAAAGUAUUCCAUGUCUACAAAGUGCUUUCAUGUCCCUUUUCUCAAUGCUGCAAAGCAGGCAGGACUAAAAAGCGAAUCAAGUACCCAGGCCAACUCAUGGGGCAGAUUCACUAUUGAGCUCAGGCCAUCUGACACUG
rnacentral:lncRNA from 1 species